rnacentral:tRNA from 3 species
UCCGCAAUAGCUCAGUUGGUAGAGCGCAUGACUGUUAAUCAUGAUGUCGUAGGUUCGAGCCCUACUUGCGGAG